rnacentral:lncRNA from 1 species
UUUCCAUCAGAGCAGCCUCUAAUGGUCAUGUUCUGAUGCCAAAAUACUGUCAAACAGCUCAAUACAUCCUAAAUGUACAGUUGCAUAUGCGGUGGUUUGAACUAGUGUUCUUAUGACCUGAAAAGCUCAAAAACGAUGUUUUAAUGUUUCUGCAUUGUUUUUUUAACGUUACAGUUCAUAAUGGUCAUGUUCUCAUGCGAGGUUACUUUCAAACAGCUCAAUACAUCCUAAAAGCAGAGUUGCAAUUGCCGUGGUUUAAACUAGUAAAACGAUGUUUUAGUGUUUCUGCAUUGGUUUCUAACAUUACAGCUUAAGAUGGUCAUGUUCUGAUACCAGGCAACUUUAAAACAGCUCAAUACACCAUAAAAAGCACAGUUGCAUAUGCCGUGGUUUAAACUAGUGUUUCUACAGCCUGAAAAGCUCAAAAACGAUGUUUUAGUGUUUCUGCAUUGGUUUCCAGCAGAACAACCUCUAAUGGUCAUGUUCUGAUGGCAGAAUACUGUCAAACAGCUCAAUACAUCCUAAAUGUACAGUUGCAUAUGCCGUGGUUUAAACUAGUGUUUCUACAGCCUGAAAAGCUCAAAAACGAUGUUUUAGUGUUUCUGCAUUGGUUUCCAUCAGAGCAGCCUCUAAUGGUCAUGUUCUGAUGCCAGAAUACUGUCCAACAGCUCAAUACAUCCUAAAUGUACAGUUGCUUAUGCGGUGGUUUAAACUAGUGUUCUUGUGACCUGAAAAGCUCCAAAAUGAUGUUGUAGUGUUUCUGCAUUGGUUUUUGAACAUUACAGUUUAUAAUGAUCAUGUUUUCAUGCCAGGCUACUGUAAAACAGCUCAAUACAUCCUAAAACCAGAGUUGCAAUUGCUGUGGUUUAAACUAGUGUUUCUGCAGCCUGACAAGCUCAAAAACGAUGUUUUAGUGUUUCUGCAUUGGUUUCCAUCAAAGCAGCCUCUAAUGGUCAUGUUCUGAUGCCAGAAUACUGUCCACCAGCUCAAUACAUCCUAAAUGCAGAGUUGCAUAUGCGGUGGUUUAAACUAGUGUUCUUAUGACCUGAAAAGCUCAAAAACGAUGUUUUAGUGUUUCUGCAUUGUUUUUUUUAAGAUUAUAGUUUACAAUGGUCAUGUUCUCAUGCCAGGCUACUGUAAAACAGCUCAAUACAUCCUAAAACCAGAGUUUCAAUUCCUGUAGUUUAAACUAGUGUUUCUGCAGCCUGACAAGCUCAAAAAGAUGUUUUAGUGUUUCUGCAUUGGUUUCCAUCAGAGCAGCCUCUAAUGGUAAUGUUCUGAUGCCAGAAUACUGUCCAACAGCUCAAUACAUCA